GACAGAGGUGCCAAGCGUUAGGCGGAAUCACUGGGCUUAAAGCGUGUGUAGGCGGAUAUCUAAGUACCUUGUGAAAUCCCACGGCUCAACCGUGGAACUGCUGGGUAUACUGGUUGUCUUGAGCCAGCUAGGGGCGAGCGGAACAGACGGUGGAGCGGUGAAAUGCGUAGAUAUCGUCUGGAACGCCGAAGGUGAAAACAGCUCGCUGGGGCUGCGCUGACGCUGAGACACGAAAGCCAGGGGAGCGAACGGG
rnacentral:rRNA from 1 species